UAGGGAAUAUUGCACAAUGGGCGAAAGCCUGACCCAGCAACGCCGCGUGAAGGAAGAAGGCCCUCGGGUUGUAAACUUCUUUUGUCAGGGACGAAGCAAGUGACGGUACCUGACGAAUAAGCCACGGCUAACUACGUGCCAGCAGCCGCGGUAAUACGUAGGUGGCAAGCGUUAUCCGGAUUUACUGGGUGUAAAGGGCGUGUAGGCGGGAGUGCAAGUCAGAUGUGAAAACUAUGGGCUCAACCCAUAGCCUGCAUUUGAAACUGUACUUCUUGAGUGAUGGAGAGGCAGGCGGAAUUCCCUGUGUAGCGGUGAAAUGCGUAGAUAUAGGGAGGAACACCAGUGGCGAAGGCGGCCUGCUGGACAUUAACUGACGCUGAGGCGCGAAAGCGUGGGGAGCAAACAGGAUAGAUACC
rnacentral:rRNA from 1 species